rnacentral:misc_RNA from 1 species
GAUGAAGAACGCAGCGAAAUGCGAUAGGUAAUGUGAAUUGCAGAAUUCAGUGAAUCAUCGAAUCUUUGAACGCACAUUGCGCCCUUUGGUAUUCCUUAGGGCAUGCCUGUUCGAGCGUCACUACACACCUUAUCACAAUAUUUGUGGUCUUGGCAGGAGUGAAUUGCUGGUCUAUGGAAGUAUUCCAGCAGUACACAAUGCUAAAAAAUAUGGGAAGGUUACCAGAUAUGAACAACAGACUUUGUAAAUGGUUGUAGGACCUAGAUCAGUCACCAGUCAUGUCUGGGCCCUUACCUUAAGGACCCCCAUCCUAGAUGAACUAUGGGUUGACCUCGGAUCAGGUAGGAAUACACGCUGAACUUAAGCAUAUCAAUAAGCGGAGGA